rnacentral:rRNA from 1 species
UACGGGGGGGGCAAGCGUUGUUCGGAAUUACUGGGCGUAAAGGGCGCGUAGGCGGCAGGGCAAGUCAGGUGUGAAAGCCCCGGGCUCAACUCGGGAACUGCAUCUGAAACUGCUUUGCUUGAGUCCUGGAGGGGGUAGUGGAAUUCCCAGUGUAGCGGUGAAAUGCGUAGAUAUUGGGAGGAACACCGGUGGCGAAGGCGGCCCCCUGGACCGGUACUGACGCUGAGGCGCGAAAGCGUGGGUAGCAAACGGG